rnacentral:sRNA from 1 species
CCCUCAAGGAGCUGGGCUUUCCUGCCCGAUA